UCCUGCCCCGGCUGCGCUGGGGGCGAGAACCGAGCUGAGGGUGCAGCCGGGCUUUGGCAUAGGGCUGCCCCCCUCAGCGUCUUUUGGCUAUGGGAACACGUUUGUUGCACACACACACACGCAUACUACUUCAGCCAGCUCCUGGCUGGGUCAGCAAUCCGUGGUGCCUUGCAGCUGGUGAGUCAGGACAUCAGCAGCAGAGGCAGGAGGCUGGAAGCUGUGGAGAUGAUCUGUCAGAUGGCUCCAGGGACUCUUGGUUGUUACAACUUGAAGCUGCCACUCAAGCCUCUCA
rnacentral:lncRNA from 1 species